rnacentral:rRNA from 1 species
UUCGUCAAGAAAAGCCGCUAUUGUUCUUAUUGUACCCGUACCGUAAACCGACACAGGUGGAUGAGGAGAGAACCCUAAGGCCGACGGAAGAAGCAUUGUUAAGGAACUCGGCAAAAUGACCCCGUAACUUCGGGAGAAGGGGUGCCACAGAAAUAUGGCCGCAGAGAAUAGGCUCAAGCAACUGUUUAGCAAAAACACAGGUCUAUGCAAAACCGAAAGGUGAGGUAUAUGGGCUGACGCCUGCCCGGUGCUGGAAGGUUAAGAGGAGAGGUUAGCGCAAGCGAAGCUUUGAAUUGAAGCCCCAGUAAACGGCGGCCGUAACGAUAACGGUCCUAAGGUAGCGAAAUUCCUUGUCGGGUAAGUUCCGACCCGCACGAAAGGCGUAAUGAUUUGAGCGCUGUCUCGACAAUGCAUCCGGUGAAAUUGAAGUACCAGUGAAGAUGCUGGUUACCUGCGCCAGGACGGAAAGACCCCAUGGAGCUUUACUCCAGCUUGAUACUGGGAUUCGGUAUUGCAUGUACAGGAUAGGUGGGAGGCUGAGAAUCGGUAACGCCAGUUGCCGAGGAGCCAUUGUUGGGAUACCACCCUUGCAGUACUGGGUUUCUAACCAGCAGCCGUGACCCGGCUGGGGGACAAUGUCAGGUGGGGAGUUUGACUGGGGCGGUCGCCUCCGAAAGGGUAUCGGAGGCGCUCAAAGGUUCCCUCAGAAUGGUUGGAAACCAUUCGAAGAGUGCAAAGGCAGAAGGGAGCUUGACUGCGACACCGACGGGUGGAGCAGGUACGAAAGUAGGACUUAGUGAUCCGGUGGUAUUAAGUGGGAAUGCCAUCGCUCAACGGAUAAAAGCUACCCUGGGAUAACAGGCUUAUCACUCCCAAGAGUUCACAUCGACGGAGUGGUUUGGCACCUCGAUGUCGGCUCAUCGCAUCCUGGGGCUGUAGUAGGUCCCAAGGGUUGGGCUGUUCGCCCAUUAAAGCGGUACGCGAGCUGGGUUCAGAACGUCGUGAGACAGUUCGGUCCCUAUCCGGCGUGGGCGUAGGAUAUCUGAGAGGAGCUGUCCUUAGUACGAGAGGACCGGGAUGGACGGACCGCUGGUGUACCUGUUGCAGUGCCAGCUGCAUGGCAGGGUAGCCAAGUCCGGAAGGGAUAAACGCUGAAGGCAUCUAAGCGUGAAGCCCCCCUCAAGAUGAGAUAUCCCAUUCGGAAGAAGUAAGACCCCUUGAAGACGACGAGGUAGAUAGGGCAGAGGUGGAAGUGCAGUAAUGUAUGGAGCUGACUGUUACUAAUCGGUCGAGGGUUUGACC